rnacentral:rRNA from 1 species
GACGAACGCUGGCGGCGUGCUUAACACAUGCAAGUCGAACGGAAAGGCCCUGCUUUUGUGGGGUGCUCGAGUGGCGAACGGGUGAGUAUCACGCGAGUAACCUGCCCUUGACUUUGGGAUAACUUCAGGAAACUGGGGCUAAUACCGGAUAGGAGCUCCUUCUGCAUGGUGGGGGUUGGAAAGUUUCGGCGGUUCGGGAUGGACUCGCGGCUUAUCAGCUUGUUGGUGGGGUAGUGGCUUACCAAGGCUUUGACGGGUAGCCGGCCUGAGAGGGUGACCGGCCACAUUGGGACUGAGAUACGGCCCAGACUCCUACGGGAGGCAGCAGUGGGGAAUAUUGCACAAUGGGCGGAAGCCUGAUGCAGCAACGCCGCGUGCGGGAUGACGGCCUUCGGGUUGUAAACCGCUUUCGCCUGUGACGAAGCGUGAGUGACGGUAAUGGGUAAAGAAGCACCGGCUAACUACGUG